GGAAUAUUUUAGAGAAAUAGGUUUGCUAUCUAGUCUCCAGUCUUUUUGGUUGAACUAUAGUGCUGAAUGUUGAAGCCCAAGGAAUCUCCAUUGUCAAGCAAAUGAUGCUUUAAUUUUACUCUGGAGAGACAAAGCUGCAGGGACUAGGCAGACACCUCAGGGUCACCCAGAACCGCCACUGCCCAGCAGAGGUGAGGAAGGUGUGGCCCGGCCUAGGAGCAUGUUGGGAGGACAGUCAAGGCCCC
rnacentral:lncRNA from 1 species